AUUGAACGCUGGCGGCAGGCCUAACACAUGCAAGUCGAGCGGAGAUGAGGUGCUUGCACCUUAUCUUAGCGGCGGACGGGUGAGUAAUGCUUAGGAAUCUGCCUAUUAGUGGGGGACAACAUUCCGAAAGGAAUGCUAAUACCGCAUACGUCCUACGGGAGAAAGCAGGGGAUCUUCGGACCUUGCGCUAAUGGAUGAGCCUAAGUCGGAUUAGCUAGUUGGUGGGGUAAAGGCCUACCAAGGCGACGAUCUGUAGCGGGUCUGAGAGGAUGAUCCGCCACACUGGGACUGAGACACGGCCCAGACUCCUACGGGAGGCAGCAGUGGGGAAUAUUGGACAAUGGGGGGAACCCUGAUCCAGCCAUGCCGCGUGUGUGAAGAAGGCCUUAUGGUUGUAAAGCACUUUAAGCGAGGAGGAGGCUACCUGGAUUAAUACUCUAGGAUAGUGGACGUUACUCGCAGAAUAAGCACCGGCUAACUCUGUGCCAGCCGCCGCCGUAAAAC
rnacentral:rRNA from 1 species